ACCAAGCAAAAAUGUAGCAGUUGUGCAAUUUUCGGCCAUAAUAAAAGAUCAUGUAAAAGACCAAUUGAUUCCACUCAACACCCCUCAAGUAAGCUUAAAUUUAUUUAUUUUUUUACUUUUUUAUAUAAAAAUAAAGCUUAUAUACUAAUAUUUCUACCUUUAUCGUGCAGGAACAGCCACACAAGAUAUGAGAGGAAGCUCACAAGCUAGUAGUUGUUAUACCAAUUUGUGAAAAGAUUAUUUUUUUUUUCAAAAAAUAUUAUGGUUAUUGAUGUAAUGUUUACCAGUACUAAUUUGAUACAAUAUUAUAAUACAAUGGUUUUUUGUUAUGUUUAGUGGAUUGAUGGUUUUAAUGUCUAUUGGAUAUGUUAUUUAGUAC
rnacentral:lncRNA from 1 species